CAUUUUUCACAAUUUAUUUUGCAGAGAGUAACAGACCACUGAUGUCCCUGGGAAACAAGACGUUAAAAUCACUAAAGUGUGUAAUUGACACUGAAAAGCAGAUGUUGGUGUUUGGGACGGUGGUGAGGGAGCAACUUCAUUUUGCCAAACAGCCGUUCAAUGAAAGUUCUCCUGAUUUCAGACACCUGUGACAUUAACAACAACUAAACAUACCUACCAAAAGCAAUACAACAAUUUACUGUUAAAACUAGAUGCCUAAUUAGGUAACUCUCAUAAACUUCUCACCCUAUUCCUUCUCACUUUCUCUCUUUGCCUUUACAGUCAGAUAAUCCACCCUCACUUUACUUAUUUUUACACGAAGGCAGCGGUUUAUUAACUACAUGGUUUUUAGCUGACGCUUUUAUCCAAAGCGACGUA